GACGAACGCUGGCGGCGUGCUUAACACAUGCAAGUCGAACGGAAAGGCCCUGCUUUUGUGGGGUGCUCGAGUGGCGAACGGGUGAGUAACACGUGAGUAACCUGCCCUUGACUUUGGGAUAACUUCAGGAAACUGGGGCUAAUACCGGAUAGGAGCUCCUGCUGCAUGGUGGGGGUUGGAAAGUUUCGGCGGUUGGGGAUGGACUCGCGGCUUAUGAGCUUGUUGGUGGGGUAGUGGCUUACCAAGGCUUUGACGGGUAGCCGGCCUGAGAGGGUGAACGGCCACAUUGGGACUGAGAUACGGACCAGACGCCUACGGUAGGCAGUAGUGGGGAAUAUUGCACAAUGGGGCGAAGCCUGAUGCAGCAACGCCGCGUGCGGGAUGACGGCCUUCGGGUUGUAAACCGCUUUCGACUGUGAUGAAGCGUGCGUGACGGUAAUGGGUAAAGAAGCACCGGCUAACUACGUG
rnacentral:rRNA from 1 species